GACGAACGCUGGCGGCGUGCUUAACACAUGCAAGUCGAACGGAAAGGCCCUGCUUUUGUGGGGUGCUCGAGUGGCGAACGGGUGAGUAACACGUGAGUAACCUGCCCUUGACUUUGGGAUAACUUCAGGAAACUGGGGCUAAUACCGGAUAGGAGCUCCUGCUGCAUGGUGGGGGUUGGAAAGUUUCGGCGGUUGGGGAUGGACUCGCGGCUUAUCAGCUUGUUGGUGGGGUAGUGGCUUACCAAGGCUUUGACGGGUAGCCGGCCUGAGAGGGUGACCGGCCACAUUGGGACUGAGAUACGGCCCAGACUCCUACGGGAGGCAGCAGUGGGGAAUAUUGCACCAUGGGCGGAAGCCUGAUGCAGCAACGCCGCGUGCGGGAUGACGGCCUUCGGGUUGUAAACCGCUUUCGCCUGUGACGAAGCGUGAGUGACGGUAGUGGGUAAAGAAGCACCGGCUAACUACGUG
rnacentral:rRNA from 1 species